UACGAAGGGGGCUAGCGUUGCUCGGAAUUACUGGGCGUAAAGGGCGCGUAGGCGGCACUGUUAGUCAGGCGUGAAAGUCCUGGGCUCAACCUGGGAACUGCGCUUGAUACGGCAGAGCUAGAGGAUGGAAGAGGCUCGCGGAAUUCCCAGUGUAGAGGUGAAAUUCGUAGAUAUUGGGAAGAACACCGGUGGCGAAGGCGGCGAGCUGGUCCAUUACUGACGCUGAGGCGCGACAGCGUGGGGGAGCAAACGGG
rnacentral:rRNA from 1 species